rnacentral:rRNA from 1 species
AUUGAACGCUGGCGGCAGGCCUAACACAUGCAAGUCGAGCGAGCGGCGGACGGGUGAGUAAUGUAUGGGGACUGCCUGAUAGAGGGGGAUAACUCCUGGAAACGGUAACUAAUACCGCAUACUAUCGGAUAACCCAUAUGGGAUUAGCUAUUAGGUGAGGUAAUGGCUCACCAAGGCGACGAUCCCUAGCUGGUCUGAGAGGAUGAUCAGCCACACUGGAACUGAGGCACGGCCCAGACUCCUACGGAGGCAGCAGUGGGGAAUAUUGCACAAUGGGCGCAAGCCUGAUGCAGCCAUGCCGCGUGUAUGAAGAAGGCCCUAGGGUUGUAAAGUACUUUCAGGCGGGAGGCGUUACCCACAGAAGAAGCAACGGCUAACUCAGUGCCAGCAGCCGCGGUAAUUA